GCUUCAUCUAAUUGGAACUUAUAGAAAACCUAAUCUCCUAAUCUUCUUCGCCGUUUCAUCUAAAUAAUCACAACGAAUCACUCCCAGAUUACGAUUAAUAGAUUGUUACUUUACAUCACACAUAUAAUUGCUGGUGUUAGGUUCCGAGGGCAACGAUGGUGAUUCAUUCGUUGAUUGUUGUGUAGAUAGAUGAUCGAUUGAGCGGACUACAAGUCUUCAAAGGGGAUUGGGAACUACACACACGAUUUGAGGUUUUGGG